rnacentral:rRNA from 1 species
UAGGGAAUCUUCCGCAAUGGACGCAAGUCUGACGGAGCAACGCCGCGUGAGUGAAGAAGGAUUUCGGUUCGUAAAACUCUGUUGUUAGAGAAGAACAGCGCAUAGAGUAACUGUUAUGCGUGUGACGGUAUCUAACCAGAAAGCCACGGCUAACUACGUGCCAGCAGCCGCGGUAAUACGUAGGUGGCAAGCGUUGUCCGGAUUUAUUGGGCGUAAAGCGAGCGCAGGCGGUCAAUUAAGUCUGAUGUGAAAGCCCCCGGCUCAACCGGGGAGGGUCAUUGGAAACUGGUAGACUUGAGUGCAGAAGAGGAGAGUGGAAUUCCAUGUGUAGCGGUGAAAUGCGUAGUUAUAUGGAGGAACACCAGUGGCGAAGGCGACUCUCUGGUCUGUAACUGACGCGGAGGCUCGAAAGCGUGGGUAGCAAACAGG